rnacentral:rRNA from 1 species
UUUGUCCGAUAAGGAUGAACCUGCGGAAGGAUCAUUAGUGAUUGUGAAUCGUUGCCUUCGGAUGCUGGCUCCCAAGCAAGUGCACGUUGGUGACUUUCAUCCAUUACCCUGUGCACCUUUGGCCUCUUGUUGGCUUCGGCUGAUGGAGGAUUUUUACACAUAAACUCGAAUGUAAUGAAAACUACUGUCGUGCGCAAGCACUAAUGUACAACUUUCAACAACGGAUCUCUUGGCUCUCGCAUCGAUGAAGAACGCAGCGAAAUGCGAUAAGUAAUGUGAAUUGCAGAAUUCAGUGAAUCAUCGAAUCUUUGAACGCACCUUGCACCCUUUGGUAUUCCGAAGGGUAUGCUCGUUUGAGUGUCAUUGUACUCUCACACUCUCUAAUGCUUUGCAGUAGGAGUGGUGGACUUGGGUGUUGCUGCUUCACGGUGGCUCACCUGAAAUGCAUUAGUGCAUCUCCUGGUUGGACAUAGUACGGCGUGAUAAGUGUCUUCGCCGGCGCCUCGAAAGAGGGUGGCCGAUUGGGAGCUCUGGGCUUCUAACUGUCUUAGGACACUCUCUGACAACUGGACCUCAAAUCGAGUAGGACUACCCGCUGAACUUAGCAUAUCAUAGCGAGGGGAAAAA